UGGGAUAUAGUUUAUUGGAAAAGUGUUUGACUAGCAUCUAAGAGGCCCUGGGUUUGAUUCCCAGCAUUACAA
rnacentral:tRNA from 1 species